rnacentral:rRNA from 1 species
CCUACGGGAGGCAGCAGUGGGGAAUAUUGCUCAAUGGGGGAAAGCCUGAUCCAGCGACGCCGCGUGAGUGAAGACGUAUUUCGGUAUGUAAAGCUCUUUCUGUCGGGAAGAAAAUGACGGUACGUGUUUACGAAGCCCCGGGUAACUACGUGCCAGCAUCCGCGGUAAUACGUCAGGGGGAAGCGUUAUCCGGAAUUACUGGGUGUAAAGGGGGCGUAGACGGAAGCACAAGUCUGGAGUGAAAUGCCUGGGCUUAACCCCGGAACUGCCUUGGAAACUGUGCGGCUAGAGUGGAGGAGAGGUAAGUGGAAUGCCUGGUGUAGCGGUGAAAUGCGUAGAUAUUAGGAGGAACACCAGUGGCGAAGGCGGCAUACUGGACUGUAACUGACGCUGAGGCUCGAAAGCGUGGGGAGCAAACAGGAUUAGAUACCCUAGUAGUC